GUGAGCACAAUGUGGCCCCCUGUCUAACCAAACAUCGCUGCGCGUUUGCGGCCGAGUUCAGGCAAUAUCCGAGCCCACAUAGCAGUUUGCCCCUGUGCACAGCAGCAGCAGAUAUCUGGCCACCAGGCAGAGGGAUGAAUUCCCACCAGCUCCAUCAGCCCCGGCCUGUGGAAGAGGCAGCCCCGAGCCAGGCAGAAAGCCAUGGAUUUACCCACUGCGAG